GGAGUAUCUGGCUGACGGGCUGUCUGCAUAGUAAAGCCACCAGAACAUAUGAGCCCCCUCCCGAACGUCAACAUAGCCCCAGGAUUCCUUGGAUUUUAGGGGAUUCGAGAACCCUGGAGAUUUGGAGACAUUGAAAUGACGUUGUUAAAAAUUCUGCGUUUGGUCUUAAAAUGCAGUCUAAUUGCAAAAUCCCCAGCCCUGAUUGGUGCAGCAGAUGUCGUGGAAGAGCGCAGUGGGGGGUUUCUGAUCAGGAAAACGUCAACAUUGUAGCUAGCCAACUUUUGCUUUCACAUUUAUCGCUGCCAUGAAACCCGACCAAGUAAAGCAAAUGAAUGUAUUUGAUGAAUUUGAUUGCUGGAGCCUGAGUCGCCGUACUUAGCGGACUAAACUCUGGAGUCACCGUCGUGAUUUCAAGCAUGUUUGGAUAUCGGCGCAGUUAGUAUUCAAACUGGAAUUGAACAGUUAUUGAAACACCAAUAUAUCGGAAACAAUCACUUCACAUAGCUAACUACUUACCUGUAUCAAUUGCCACGACAAGUAGCAAAACAACGCUGCAAGCGCUUGCUUUCGUCAACCCCAUCAUCUCGACUUGCUCGCAAGAACUUCACAAUGACAACACUUUUCAUUAGACUAUUGUGUCAUGUCAGACUUCAGUCACAUGACGAGCGAAUCCUCAGCUGACCAGAACAUGAGGAGAGGAUCAGGAUAUUUAGAGCAUUGUUGAGCUAGCCACCCCUACCCUCCGUCAAAAUAAAAGUCCCGGGCAAAAAUGUCCUGUGAAUUUUCCAUAUUAAAAGCCACGGAACACAGGAGAGGUAUAAACAGAAAAUUGACAAAGAAAAAUACAUUUAUUUAUCAAGUCAUCAGAACGCAAUCCUGGUUUUAUACUUCUGCAGGAGGUCAAAAGAGGUAAUCAAAUUAAUAAAUCAAUAUCAAUCAAUCAAACCUCCAAAUCAUGUGAUGAUUGAGCAGUCUUAGAGUGAGCAGUCUUAGAGUGAGCAGUCUUAGAGUGAGCAGUCUUGAGCAGUCUUAGAGUGAGCAGUCUUGAGCAGUCUUAGAGUGAGCAGCCUUGAGCAGUCUUAGAGUGAGCAGCCUUGAGCAGUCUUAGAGUGAGCAGUCUUAGAAUGAGCAGUCUUGAGCAGUCUUAGAGUGAGCAGUCUUAGAGUGAGCAUCCUUGAGCAGUCUUAGAGUGAGCAGCCUUGAGCAGUCUUAGAGUGAGCAGCCUUGAGCAGUCUUAGAGUGAGCAGCCUUGAGCAGUCUUAGAGUGAGCAGUCUUGAGCAGUCUUAGAGUGAGCAGCCUUGAGCAGUCUUAGAGUGAGCAGCCUUGAGCAGUCUUAGAGUGAGCAGCCUUGAGCAGUCUUAGAGUGAGCAGUCUUAGAAUGAGCAGUCUUGAGCAGUCUUAGAGUGAGCAGUCUUAGAGUGAGCAGCCUUGAGCAGUCUUAGAGUGAGCAGUCUUAGAGUGAGCAGCCUUGAGCAGUCUUAGAGUGAGCAGUCUUGAGCAGUCUUAGAGUGAGCAGUCUUGAGCAGUCUUAGAGUGAGCAGCCUUGAGCAGUCUUAGAAGGAGCAGUCUUGAGCAGUCUUAGAGUGAGCAGUCUUGAGC
rnacentral:lncRNA from 1 species